UCUUUACACCCCAAAUUUCCCGUCUAUUUUCUUCCUUUUGUUUUUUAUUUAUUUAUUAUGUUUUUUCUUUUUCUUUUAGAACUAGAGCCUUAAGCCUAUUUAGUAUUUUUAUUUUUUCACACUCUUCUAUUGAUAGUGCACCCCCUCCCUUUUAUUAUUUUUUAUGAUUUUUUAUUUAAUUGUUUAAUUGAUGUAUAUUAAUAACAAAAAUAUAAAAAAUGAUUAAAAUCAACCUUUCAAAAAUAAAAUCAAAACUUGAUCAACAUCAAGUAAUUUUCAAAACCAU
rnacentral:lncRNA from 1 species